rnacentral:rRNA from 1 species
GAUGAACGCUGGCGGCGUGCCUAAUACAUGCAAGUCGAGCGAACAGACGAGGAGCUUGCUCCUCUGACGUUAGCGGCGGACGGGUGAGUAACACGUGGAUAACCUACCUAUAAGACUGGGAUAACUUCGGGAACCGGAGCUAAUACCGGAUAAUAUAUUGAACCGCAUGGUUCCAUAGUUAAAGACGGUUUUGCUGUCACUUAUAGAUGGAUCCGCGCCGCAUUAGCUAGUUGGUAAGGUAACGGCUUACCAAGGAAACGAUGCGUAGCCGACCUGAGAGGGUGAUCGGCCACACUGGAACUGAGACACGGUCCAGACUCCUACGGGAGGCAGCAGUAGGGAAUCUUCCGCAAUGGGCGAAAGCCUGACGGAGCAACGCCGCGUGAGUGAUGAAGGUCUUCGGAUCGUAAAACUCUGUUAUUAGGGAAGAACAAAUGUGUAAGUACCUAUGCACGUCUUGACGGUACCUAAUCAGAAAGCCACGGCUAACUACGUG